CCUACGGGAGGCAGCAGUGAGGAAUAUUGGUCAAUGGACGAGAGUCUGAACCAGCCAAGUAGCGUGAAGGAUGACUGCCCUAUGGGUUGUAAACUUCUUUUAUCAAGGAAUAAAACGAGCCACGUGUGCCUUUUUGCAUGUACUUUAUGAAUAAGGAUCGGCUAACUCCGUGCCAGCAGCCGCGGUAAUACGUAGGGGGCUAGCGUUAUCCGGAUUUACUGGGUGUAAAGGGAGCGUAGGCGGUUUAGCAAGGCAGAAGUGAAAGUCGCGGGCUUAACCCCGGGACUGCUUUUGAAACUGUUGAACUAGAUUGCGGGAGAGGUAAGUGGAAUUCCUAGUGGAGCGGUGAAAUGCGUAGAUAUUAGGAGGAACACCAGUGGCGAAGGCGGCUUACUGGACUGUAAAUGACGCUGAUGCGCGAAAGCGUGGGGAGCAAACAGGAUUAGAUACCCUAGUAGUC
rnacentral:rRNA from 1 species